AUUGAACGCUGGCGGCAGGCUUAACACAUGCAAGUCGAGCGGGGUGAUGGUGCUUGCACUAUCACUUAGCGGCGGACGGGUGAGUAAUGCUUAGGAAUCUGCCUAUUAGUGGGGGACAACAUUUCGAAAGGAAUGCUAAUACCGCAUACGUCCUACGGGAGAAAGCAGGGGAUCUUCGGACCUUGCGCUAAUAGAUGAGCCUAAGUCGGAUUAGCUAGUUGGUGGGGUAAAGGCCUACCAAGGCGACGAUCUGUAGCGGGUCUGAGAGGAUGAGCCGCAACACUGGGACUGAGACACGGCCCAGACUCCUACGGGAGGCGGCAGUGGGGAAUAUUGGACAAUGGGCGGAAGCCUGAUCCAGCCAUGCCGCGUGUGUGAAGAAGGCCUUAUGGUUGUAAAGCACUUUAAGCGAGGAGGAGGCUACUUUAGUUAAUACCUAGAGAUAGUGGACGUUACUCGCAGAAUAAGCACCGGCUAACUCUGUGCCAGCAGCCGCAGUAACAC
rnacentral:rRNA from 1 species